UCACUUUGGCAGUGCACAUAUUAAAAUUGGAGUGACACAAAUGAUGUCAGCAUGACCCCUGCACAAGGAGGACACAAAUCUUCACCAAGCAUUCCACAGUCUG
ensembl:snRNA LOC120101206 U6 spliceosomal RNA